rnacentral:lncRNA from 1 species
ACUGCCUUCCUGAUGAGUUUUGGUCUCGUUGUCUUCGGGACUGCUAAUCAUGGGAUUUUUUUUUAGAAGAUCUGUUGGCUAAGGAACAUGUUCACCUGUUUCUUUUCGUUUUCAGUGAGUCUUACAUUUUCCCUUCUUUGAAAGUGUCAUUCUCUACAGCUAAUUCCUGAGUGAUGACAUAAGGUUUGUCUGUCGUCUCUUUCCAGGACUUCCAAAUUUGCCUUGACUCUUUCCUCUGUGCAGAUUGCUGUGCAUUCACUGUCACUUCUUUGUUAUCAGAUGCCCAAAAUGAAAUUUUCUUCUUAAGGGUUAUGUUCCAACCUCUUUGGCAUGUUUUAAGGGAAGUGCCUUAAAUUACAGCCUGCCUUGUGGAAGGAAAAGUGACAUUUUGUGCAAGUGGCGAUUAUCUUCCUUCAUUUUGACUGAUUGUCCAGCUACCAAGAAGGGUGACACAGGUAUUUAUUUCCUUGUUGAAAAUGAGGCAAUGAAAUUGAGCUCAAUCUGCGACUAUAAGGAAAUGCUUUUUUAAGAAUCCCCUGGACUUAGUGUCUGUUUAUAAGACAGGAUAUUACUGAGAAAGUCUCUAUACUCUUAUUGUAAUAAAUCUAGACUAUUUGGUGAUCUAAUAUCUGUA